rnacentral:rRNA from 1 species
AGUCGAGCGGUAGAGAGGUGCUUGCACCUCUUGAGAGCGGCGGACGGGUGAGUAAAGCCUAGGAAUCUGCCUGGUAGUGGGGGAUAACGCUCGGAAACGGACGCUAAUACCGCAUACGUCCUACGGGAGAAAGCAGGGGACCUUCGGGCCUUGCGCUAUCAGAUGAGCCUAGGUCGGAUUAGCUAGUUGGUGAGGUAAUGGCUCACCAAGGCGACGAUCCGUAACUGGUCUGAGAGGAUGAUCAGUCACACUGGAACUGAGACACGGUCCAGACUCCUACGGGAGGCAGCAGUGGGGAAUAUUGGACAAUGGGCGAAAGCCUGAUCCAGCCAUGCCGCGUGUGUGAAGAAGGUCCUCGGAUUGUAAAGCACUUUAAGUUGGGAGGAAGGGCAUUAACCUAAUACGUUAGUGUUUUGACGUUACCGACAGAAUAAGCACCGGCUAACUCUGUGCCAGCAGCCGCGGUAAUACAGAGGGUGCAAGCGUUAAUCGGAAUUACUGGGCGUAAAGCGCGCGUAGGUGGUUCGUUAAGUUGGAUGUGAAAUCCCCGGGCUCAACCUGGGAACUGCAUUCAAAACUGUCGAGCUAGAGUAUGGUAGAGGGUGGUGGAAUUUCCUGUGUAGCGGUGAAAUGCGUAGAUAUAGGAA